GCACUUUAUACUGUGAAACUGCGAAUGGCUCAUUAAAUCAGUUAUCGUUUAUUUGAUAGUACCUUACUACAUGGAUACCUGUGGUAAUUCUAGAGCUAAUACAUGCUGAAAACCUCGACUUCGGAAGGGGUGUAUUUAUUAGAUAAAAAACCAAUGCCCUUCGGGGCUCCUUGGUGAAUCAUAAUAACUUAACGAAUCGCAUGGCCUUGCGCCGGCGAUGGUUCAUUCAAAUUUCUGCCCUAUCAACUUUCGAUGGUAGGAUAGUGGCCUACCAUGGUGGCAACGGGUAACGGGGAAUUAGGGUUCGAUUCCGGAGAGGGAGCCUGAGAAACGGCUACCACAUCCAAGGAAGGCAGCAGGCGCGCAAAUUACCCAAUCCCGACACGGGGAGGUAGUGACAAUAAAUACUGAUACGGGGCUCUUUUGGGUCUCGUAAUUGGAAUGAGUACAAUCUAAAUCCCUUAACGAGGAACAAUUGGAGGGCAAGUCUGGUGCCAGCAGCCGCGGUAAUUCCAGCUCCAAUAGCGUAUAUUAAAGUUGUUGCAGUUAAAAAGCUCGUAGUUGAACCUUGGGUCUGGCUGGCCGGUCCGCCUCACCGCGAGUACUGGUCCGGCUGGACCUUUCCUUCUGGGGAAUCUCAUGGCCUUCACUGGCUGUGGGGGGAACCAGGACUUUUACUGUGAAAAAAUUAGAGUGUUCAAAGCAGGCCUUUGCUCGAAUACAUUAGCAUGGAAUAAUAGAAUAGGACGUGCGGUUCUAUUUUGUUGGUUUCUAGGACCGCCGUAAUGAUUAAUAGGGAUAGUCGGGGGCGUCAGUAUUCAGCUGUCAGAGGUGAAAUUCUUGGAUUUGCUGAAGACUAACUACUGCGAAAGCAUUCGCCAAGGAUGUUUUCAUUAAUCAGGGAACGAAAGUUAGGGGAUCGAAGACGAUCAGAUACCGUCGUAGUCUUAACCAUAAACUAUGCCGACUAGGGAUCGGACGGUGUUUCUAUUAUGACCCGUUCGGCACCUUACGAGAAAUCAAAGUU
rnacentral:rRNA from 1 species